rnacentral:rRNA from 1 species
GUGGGGAAUCUUGCGCAAUGGGCGAAAGCCUGACGCAGCCAUGCCGCGUGAAUGAUGAAGGUCUUAGGAUUGUAAAAUUCUUUCACCGGGGACGAUAAUGACGGUACCCGGAGAAGAAGCCCCGGCUAACUUCGUGCCAGCAGCCGCGGUAAUACGAAGGGGGCUAGCGUGGCUCGGAAUUACUGGGCGUAAAGGGCGCGUAGGCGGACAGUUUAGUCAGAGGUGAAAGCCCAGGGCUCAACCUUGGAAUUGCCUUUGAUACUGGCUGUCUUGAGUACGGGAGAGGUGAGUGGAACUCCGAGUGUAGAGGUGAAAUUCGUAGAUAUUCGGAAGAACACCAGUGGCGAAGGCGACUCACUGGCCCGUUACUGACGCUGAGGCGCGAAAGCGUGGGGAGCAAACAGGAUUAGAUACCCCAGUAGUCC